rnacentral:rRNA from 1 species
AUACGUAGGGGGCGAGCGUUGUCCGGAAUGAUUGGGCGUAAAGGGCGCGUAGGCGCCCGGUAAGUCUGGAGUGAAAGUCCUGUUUUUAAGAUGGGAAUUGCUUUGGAUACUGUCGGGCUUGAGUGCAGGAGAGGUAAGUGGAAUUCCCAGUGUAGCGGUGAAAUGCGUAGAGAUUGGGAGGAACACCAGUGGCGAAGGCGACUUACUGGACUGUAACUGACGCUGAGGCGCGAAAGUGUGGGGAGCAAACAGGAUUAGAUACCCUGGUAGUCCACACUGUAAACGAUGAAUGCUAGGUGUAAGAGGUAUCGACCCCUUUUGUGCCGGAGUCAACACAAUAAGCAUUCCGCCUGGGGAGUACGGCCGCAAGGUUGAAACUCAAAUGAAUUGACGGGG